UCCAGACUCCUACGGGAGGCAGCAGUGAGGAAUAUUGGUCAAUGGGCUUACGCCUGAACCAGCCAAGUCGCGUGAGGGAAGAAGGUACUGAGUAUUGUAAACCUCUUUUGCCAGGGGACAAAGGCGGCCACGGGUGGCCGUAAGAGGGUACCUGGAGAAAAAGCAUCGGCUAACUCCGAGCCAGCAGCCGCGGUAAUACGGAGGAUGCGAGCGUUAUCCGGAUUUAUUGGGUUUAAAGGGUGCGCAGGCGGCGUGUCAAGUCAGCGGUAAAAUGUCGGGGCUCAACCCCGGCCUGCCGUUGAAACUGGUCUUCUUGAGUGAGCGAGAAGUAUGCGGAAUGCGUGGUGUAGCGGUGAAAUGCAUAGAUAUCGCGCAGAACUCCGAUUGCGAAGGCAGCAUGCCGGCUCCACACUGACGCUGAGGCACGAAAGCGUGGGUAUCGAACAGGAUUAGAUACCCGAGUAUG
rnacentral:rRNA from 1 species